rnacentral:rRNA from 1 species
CGUAGGGUGCGAGCGUUAAUCGGAAUUACUGGGCGUAAAGUGUGCGCAGGUGGCCGCGCAUGUCGAGUGUGAAAUCCCCGGGCUUAACUUGGGAAUUGCGCUCGAAACUACGUGGCUGGAGUGUGGCAGAGGGAGGUGGAAUUCCACGUGUAGCGGUGAAAUGCGUAGAGAUGUGGAGGAACACCAAUGGCGAAGGCAGCCUCCUGGGCCAACACUCGACACUCAUGCACGAAAGCGUGGGGAGCAAACAGGAUUAGAUACCCUGGUAGUCCACGCCCUAAACGAUGAUGACUAGUUGUUGGGGGAGUUAAAUCCCUUAGUAACGCAGCUAACGCGCGAAGUCAUCCGCCUGGGGAGUACGGGUCGCAAGAUUAA